GACAAAGUGGUGUAGUGGUUUGAGUGUGGACUACAACUCUGGAGACCAGGUUUCGAAUUCCAGCUCGGCCA